CUUCUGAGGAGGCUGGAAAGAUGACCAGCUUCUCCUAAAUAAUUAUUUCCAAGAGACCUGGAAGGACUUAGCUGAAUAUCUGACAUUUACCAGCAUCAGUAACCCACAUGAGGGACAUCCACAAUCCUGAAAAUCUCUCAAAUCAUGUGCCACAACACCUCAACAGCAGAAGUUUCAAACCAUCAAACUCAGUCUAAGCGCCAUUCCCGCAUCCGCGCUUGCGACCGCUCGCACCCCGCUCAUGUUUGCGGCCGAAUGCAAAUGAUCAUAAUUGAUGGACAACUAUGCUCGUGACAAGAUAUCAGCAAUCCAGCGCCGAGAGAAGAA